rnacentral:rRNA from 1 species
AUGGUUUACGGUAAAUCGGACAAACCACAAUACAUAAAAGCAUACCAUGGUUGCUAUGAUCCAUUGUCAUAUCCACUUUUUUUCCCGAAUGGGGAAGUCGGAUGGAACUUGAAUUUACCAAAAGUUGCUCCCCAUGGUAAGAGGAAGAGAAAUGAUCAAGCAAAUGCUCUCAGCGAAGAAGGGGUAGAAAAGAGCUCUGGUUCUUGUGUAUCACCAAGGGAAUAUUAUUGUUAUAAGUUACAAAUCCGAGAUGGCGAGUUCAACGUCUUACUACUUGGAAAGAGAUUAACUCAACAGUAUAUUGUUGAUAUGUACAUCAAGAUUGAAUCAAUAAGGUUAGCUUUCUAUUUACAACCGUCAACUCAGGUUCUCAUACGUGCAGAUUUAUAUCAAGGAUUGGUUGAUAGUGUUGUAGCCGGUGAGACACGUGCAUGCAUGACUGGAAAGCGUAUUGUGCUCCCCCCGAAAUUUAUUGGAGGACCAAGAGACAUGCGCCGAAGGUAUCUAGAUGCAAUGGCAUUGGUCCAACGGUUUGGAAAGCUAGACUUAUUCAUUACAAUGACUUGCAACCCGCAAUGGGAAGAGAUAACUAGAGAGCUGGAACCAGGUCAAUCGCCACAAGAUCGUCCAGAUUUGGUAGCACGGGUCUUCAAGGCAAAGUUGGAGGAUCUUAAAGAUCUUUUACUCAAGAGGAAAUUAUUUGGUGAAGUUGUUGCACAUGUUCAUGUAAUAGAAUUUCAGAAGAGAGGCCUACAGCAUGCACACUUCUUAAUUAUUCUGACGUCAACUUGCAAGAUUACUAAUCCAGAUCAAUAUGAUGAGAUAAUAUCAGCAGAGAUCCCAGAUAGAGACAAAUACCCUGUACUGCAUGCUUUAGUUAUUAAGCACAUGAUGCAUGGACCAUGCGAAGUUCUCAACAAUAAGAAUACUUGCAUGGAAAAUGGAAGUUGUAGAUACCAUUAUCCACGGACAUUCUCAGAGACAACACUACAAGGAAAGGACUCAUAUCCAAUUUAUAGACGGAGGGAUGAUGGUUGUCGAGUUCGCAUUAGGGGUGCGGUCUUGGAUAAUAGAUGGGUUGUCCCUUACAGUCCAUAUCUACUUAUGCGAUACAAUUGCCAUAUAAAUGUAGAAGUUUGCUCUAGCAUUAAGGCCGUUAAAUAUUUAUUUAAAUACAUGUACAAAGGUCAUGAUCGCGCAUCCUUUGUCAUUGAGUCCAGAGGAGAUAAUGUUGUUAUUGAUGAGAUUCGCGAAUAUAGGGAUGCAAGGUUUAUAUCACCUCCAGAGGCUAUAUGGAGGAUUUAUUCUUUCAAUCUAAGUGAGAUGUCACCUCCAGUUUUGCAGUUACAGGUCCAUUUGCCAAAUAUGCAUCUUGUGCAUUAUGAAGAUUCUGAUAAUUUGGAUAGCGUGUUACGCAGAGAAUCAUCUUCAAAAACAAUGCUUAGUGAAUGUUUUAGAAUGAAUUCUGUUGAUACUUUUGCGAGGAAUUUCUUGUACAAGGAGUUUCCAGAAUAUUUUGUGUGGGAUAGCAGUUGCAAGAAUUGGAGACGUCGCAAGCAGAAACGAAUUCAGAUUGGUAGACUUGUGUCUGUGCACCCUACUGAAGGAGAGCGUUAUUAUUUGAGGAUACUACUAAAUCACGUGAGGGGAGCCAAAUCAUUUGAGGAUCUACGAACUGUUGAUGGUAUUAUUUUCUCGACAUUUAGAGAGGCUGCACAAAGAAGGGGUCUCAUUGAGGAUGAUCGUAGUAUUUCUAAUUGUCUCAGUGAGGCUGCGGCAUUUCAAAUGCCAUCUGCACUUAGAAGACUUUUUGCAACAAUUUUAGUUUUCUGCGAGGUAACAAAUGUCCGUGAACUGUGGGACAAGCAUUUUGAAGCCAUGGGUGAUGAUUUUCGAAGAGAAAAUGUAAAUGCUGAAGUAAUUGAUCAGAUGGUGCUUAAAGAUCUUAGAAGUUUGUUAUAUUCAAUGGGAAAGGACAUAAAGAACUUUGACUUGCCCUGCUUAUUGGAUGAUAAUGAUUUGGAGAGCUUAGAUUGGAGAGAAUUAUAUGAUGAGAUGUCUAUUGAGGUUGAGCAGGAACACUUGGAUUUGUAUAACAAGCUAAACAAUGAGCAGCGACUUGCUUUUGAUGAGAUAAUGACUCAUGUCUUGCACCAGAAGAGUAUGGUUUUUUUCAUAGAUGGUCCGGGAGGUACAGGAAAAACAUACCUUUAUAAGGCUUUGCUCGCUAAAGUGCGGUCGAUGGGGCGAAUAGCUAUCGCAACAGCAACGUCAGGCAUUGCUGUGUCUAUCAUGCCUGGCGGUAGAACAGCACAUUCCAGGUUCAAAAUUCCCAUUAAUAUUCAGGAUGACAGCAUGUGCAACUUCAGUAAACAGAGUGGAACUGCAGAAUUACUCAAGAGGUCAUCUUUAAUAAUUUGGGACGAAGUUGCUAUGACAAAGCGUCAAGCUGUGGAGGCACUUGAUAGAUCCCUGCAAGAUAUCACCGGUUGUGGAUCACCCUUUGGAGGAAAAGUAGUAGUGUUUGGAGGUGAUUUUAGACAGGUUCUUCCAGUGGUGAGGCAUGGCAGUAGAGCACAAAUUACAGAUGCUACACUAAAGAAGUCUUAUCUUUGGCAAGACAUAAAACAUAUCAAACUUUGGCGCAAUAUGCGGGCUUUGUUUGGUCCAUGGUUCUCUGAUUUUCUCCUUAGAAUUGGUAAUGGUACAGAGGAAUCAAUUGGUCAAGAAUAUGUGCGCCUGCCUGAAGAAAUUGUUAUAGGUUACACGGAUUUGAAGGCCUCUGUUAGUAAGUUAAUUGAUGACAUAUUUCCUCUAAUGGACAAGAAUGGAAACUCACUGUCCUAUAUUAGUGCACAUGCAAUUCUUUCCACAAAGAAUGAAUAUGUUGAUGAGUUAAAUGAUAUGCUUAUUGACCGAUUUCCUGGAGAAGAAAAGGUCUAUUACAGUUUUGACUCAGUGGUUGAUGAUCCACAUAAUCACUAUCAACCUGAGUUCCUAAAUUCACUCACACCUAAUGGCCUUCCUCCUCAUAUUCUCAGAUUGAAGAUCAACUGA